GAGCCACUUCCUCCUGAGCCCUAGUGUACUACAGCAGCCUGCACAUGCCAUCUCCAACCCUGACUUCUAGUGUGGUCCAUUUGCUAUCUCCAAGACAUCCUGUCUCCCCAGAAAAUGGAGAUAGUAACUUCCUGACAUGUGAAUUGAGAUCUCUCCCCUCCCAAGUGCAGCUCAGGGUGUUUAGCAGUUUGAACUGGAUGGAGCUGCGCUGAAUCGAAUGAAACGAGGUUUAUCCUGUGUUGUUGGCUCUCCUAAUGAAAAUACAGGAGGAAUAAAGGAAAUAGGGUCACUGAGACCCCCACACAUGUGAUCAGAAGUCAAGUGUGAUACCAAGAAAGUUUAGCUGCUGCAACAUUUAAUAGUAUUUGUUAACAGCAGCUGGUAAUUGUGGGCCAUAGAAGAUGGAUGCCCCCAAUCUGGGCUAAAGGUAACUUUACCUCUUUUGGCAAUCAAGAAGGGACUCAGUGUAACUAAAACAGACAGGAAUCUUACAAACUCCUUACCCUUCUUUCAUUUAUUUAUUCAACAGCUUUGAGCAAUAUGUAUAGAGACAUAUACAUAUAUAAAUAUCCUUUGGUCAUGGUUUAGAUGUGAAUUUUGGAGCCAGGCUGACUGAUCCUGAAUCCCUGUGUUAGCCUUUCCUAGUCAGGUGUCCUUGAAUUCUCAUCUCUAGAAUGGUUGUUGAAAGGAGGCUCAAAUAACGUUUGUACCUGAGUUUUGCCAUAUGUAUGUGGCUGAAAAAAAUGGUGGUCUAUUGCUUUCAGCAAGAAAUUACCUCCAAAACCUUCUACUGAUAAAAGCCAAGGACACCACGACACACAUUGCUUUUUCAAAACUGGGACCAAAACUGCUUCAGAUUUUACUUGCAUACACGUGAGUUCUAAAAUACCUUUUAUACUUACUUUUAAAUAUCUGUGUACCAUCCAGCAAAGGCCACCCUGCAGCAUCCACGAGUAGUCACAGGACAACUUGCAGGAGUUGGCUUUCCCUUUCCAUCACAUGGAUCCGGGCAUCAAACUCAAGUCAUCAAGACUGGAAGCAAGUACCUGAUUGUAGAAUUGAAAAUCAGAGCCGGGCGUGGUGGCGCAUGCCUUUAAUCCCAGCACUUGAGAGGCAGAGGCAGGCGGAUUUCUGAGUUCGAGGCCAGCCUGGUCUACAAAGUGAGUUCCAGGACAGCCAGGGCUAUACAGAGAAACCCUGUCUUGAAAAACCAAAAAAAAAAAAAAAAAAAAAAAAGAAUUUAAAAGAAUUGAAAAUCAACCCA
rnacentral:lncRNA from 1 species